rnacentral:rRNA from 1 species
AGUGAACGCUGGCGGUGGGCCUAACACACGCAAGUCGAACGGCAGCACAGUAAGAGCUUGCUCUUACGGGUGGCGAGUGGCGGACGGGUGAGGAAUACAUCGGAAUCUACUUUUUCGUGGGGGAUAACGUAGGGAAACUUACGCUAAUACCGCAUACGACCUACGGGUGAAAGCAGGGGAUCUUCGGACCUUGCGCGAUUGGAUGAGCCGAUGUCGGAUUAGCUAGUUGGCGGGGUAAAGGCCCACCAAGGCGACGAUCCGUAGCUGGUCUGAGAGGAUGAUCGGCCACACUGGAACUGAGACACGGUCCAGACUCCUACGGGAGGCAGCAGUGGGGAAUAUUGGACAAUGGGCGCAAGCCUGAUCCAGCCAUACCGCGUGGGUGAAGAAGGCCUUCGGGUUGUAAAGCCCUUUUGUUGGGAAAGAAAAGCAGCAGGUUAAUACCCCGCUGUUCUGACGGUACCCAAAGAAUAAGCACCGGCUAACUUCGUG